ACAUUAGUGUUGCCAGCGGGGGAACUCCAAACGGGAAGAGGGAAGGAGAAAGAAAAGAUUUUGUAAUACAUUUCGGCCCAAUGUAAGGCACUCAUUCUCAACUACGAGCAUCCAAGAGCUCACUGAGUCAAUAUCGUCGCCCUCCCUUAAUUCCGUCGGGAGAUAUUCCACGCGAAAGCUAUGGUUCCUUUCUUGUGAUCGGGAGGUAUCAAUUGAAGUCUUUGAUGAUAGUUUCCUAUGCUGGGGAAUGGGCGUUGCAGUCUCUCCCUCGACCAAUCAGAGGGCGGAACCGAUCGAUGAUCUACCGGUUCCGAGUCUGGUGGAGCAGUGGACCUCUUAUGAGCUUUAGCAAAAGGUGCUGGAGAUGCCGGAGAUGCGUAUGCUCUACUGAAGCAAGAUUCAGUCGUAUCGGUAGAAUGCAUCCCGGAGCCAGCAAAUGUAAACAAACGUUGGACAAAGCACAAAACAAUGGGGAAAAGUCACAAAGCCUUUGGACAAGCCAUCUGGGCCCAGCGCCUGAAAAAAUUCGCACAACAAAAAUGCUGGACGCCGGACAUGGGCAGCAGGCCCGGUCCGAGACAGCCAAGGGCUGUCCUUGACCUGUAUAACAAGGUCCAAAGAUGCCCACGGCAGUGCGGCAGCCAGCAGCCGCUGACCUUCCGGGGGGUGGCUGCGCUGCAAAGAGGCUGUAACUGUGGACUGCACAGUAGCCCCAGUCAUCAUGCACCAUUCUUGCAUCCUCACUAGAAUGUCAGCUGUGACUGGGUGGUCCUAUUUGAUGCUUCUAAUCACUAUUUCUGACUAAUUUAUUUGCUUGGUGUUGGACAUGUCGCUGUUUUGCUGUUUUUUUUGGGGGGGUGGUGGAUGGCCUGGACAAUAGCACAGUAUAGUAUUUUGAGUACAUCUGUGGUGUCCUGGGCUGAGAGUUGUACCUAUUACUUGUAAAGGUGUGCUGUGUUGUUGCACAGGUCCCCAGGCUUAGUGCUGGUGCUUGCGAGCUAACACAACAGUGCAAUGGUGUGGUGGCUGGUUAACUUAUGUUCACAAGUUUGUUUUAUCCCAUUUAUUGUUAACCUCACUGCUUUUCAUGACAUUUUUCUUUCCUUGGUUUUGCAAAUGCUUUGCUUGGGCUGCAUACUUAGAGCAUGAUGGUCAUGAUGGUGGCUGAAUUCAGUACGCUGAGCUGCAUCCAACCCAUGCUCUAGGACCCCCAUGACAGGGCUGGGAUCCAGCGGAUCCGGCAAUAUGUUGAGUCCGGCCGUCUGGCGGAGCUGAGGCAGCGCCCCAACAUCCAGCCCAAUCUGCAGCUUGAGCGGCAUGCUGCAGGCCAGGGACUACAGCCAGCGACCUCCACUUCCAUGCCUUCCUGAUCGAGGGUCUGGUUAGAUGGAACGCGGAUCGUCACCUGGCGGCGAUCGGACAGGACAGCGCCCGCGAGGUCCGGUGCUACGGACGAGUACAGGGUGCUACGACGGCCGGAUACGGGCAGCCGUCAACGACCUGUCGCAGAGGGUGCUCAAGAGGGACCUAGUCACCAGAAGCGAGCCUCUUCGAUACACGGGUAAAAAGUCGCAUGCUACAGUCACACAAAUUAUACAGUACAAAAACUGCCAACUAAUGCCAAUGAUCGAAUGCAGUUAAGUCCGCUAGCCUCCAUUGAAUUUGAACUUAUGAAAAGGUUGCCGCUGCCGCGACAACCGAUCAGCUAAAAUUAUUUACUACCUAAUACCUAUAUACAUAAAACGAACUUACGUACCAAGACGUGUCAAGUUGUCACAAGUCGUGAAACAUAAUGUUUCACACAUGCUUCUGUUUACAUUCAGGUGAGCUCGUCGGGGUCGCCUACCUGUACGGACAGACUCGUACGUACGUACGUAGACUGUAGGCUCGACGAGUACAGGGUGGGUGACCCCGACACGCAGCACGGCGAGGAUGACGAUGUUGGCGAUGAACUCGACGAGGGAUUCGAGGACGUCGAGGACAUCUUCGUGACCGACGCGUACGAUGGUCUCGAAAUGCCACUUCAGACGCCUCUCCCGGCCGCUCCCGUCGGAGUCCCCAGCCUCGCCGCCGCCGGACCUCAGGGACCCGCUACCGCCCGAGUCCCCAGCUCCGCCGACGCUGGGCCUCAGAGUCCCGCCGACGCUGGGCCUCAGAAUCCCGCCGCCGGACCUCAGAGUCCCGCCGCCGCUGCAGCUCCGGGCUCCGCCGCCGCUGCAGCCGCAGCCGCCGUCGCUGGAGCUCCGGGCCCGGCCGCCGCUGCAGCUCCGGGGCCCGC